CUUCCAGUAGCACCUUAGAGACCAACUAAGUUUGUUUUUGGUGUGAGCUUUCAUGUGCAUACACACUACAAAAGCUCAUACCAAUUACAAACUUAGUUGGUCUCUAAGGAGCUACUGGAAG